rnacentral:tRNA from 1 species
UAUAUGAGAAGAUAAAUUUUGGCUGCUAACUAAAAUUAGGGAGGAUAAUUUUCCACUUCUCUUUGC